rnacentral:lncRNA from 1 species
AGGAUCUUAAUGAUGAGCAAUGAUCUUUUCUUCAGUGUUUUGGCACGUGCUCUGCAGAGCCCCUGAGGCAAAAAGUAGUGAGUUGAACAACUGUUCAGGAAAGAAAAUAACUUGCCUCAAGAGAUACUAAUUUUACAAAGGCUGCUCCCAUUAGAGGCUGACAAGGACACGGGUGAGCACGGAUUAAAGGAAUGAUGUGUCCCAGAUUGCGUCUUCUCCUCUACCCUGCAUCCAAGGCACCGAUGAGAACUGACUUCAUGGUUCUGAGGACCAAACAAGUCCGGGGAAGAAACAGCCAGGUGGAUGCUGCAGGAACACGAAGCAAGGCAGUUUGUUUGGCAGAGCAGAGCGGGGGAGGAGUGUGUCAAGAUGUAGACAGAUCCUCUAACAGGGAUUUUUGCCACAGGUAAAAAAUGCUACUUUGAGAUGACAAAGAGC